rnacentral:rRNA from 1 species
GGGUUGUGAGGUUAAGCGACUAAGCGUACACGGUGGAUGCCCUGGCAGUCAGAGGCGAUGAAGGGCGUGCUAAUCUGCGAUAAGCGCCGGUAAGGUGAUAUGAACCGUUAUAACCGGCGAUACCCGAAUGGGGAAACCCAGUGUGAUUCGUCACACUAUCAUUAACUGAAUCCAUAGGUUAAUGAGGCGAACCGGGGGAACUGAAACAUCUAAGUACCCCGAGGAAAAGAAAUCAACCGAGAUUCCCCCAGUAGCGGCGAGCGAACGGGGAGGAGCCCAGAGCCUGAAUCAGCAUGUGUGUUAGUGGAAGCGUCUGGAAAGGCGCGCGAUACAGGGUGACAGCCCCGUACACAAAAGCGCAUGUGCUGUGAGCUCGAUGAGUAGGGCGGGACACGUGGUAUCCUGUCUGAAUAUGGGGGGACCAUCCUCCAAGGCUAAAUACUCCUGACUGACCGAUAGUGAACCAGUACCGUGAGGGAAAGGCGAAAAGAACCCCGGCGAGGGGAGUGAAAAAGAACCUGAAACCGUGUACGUACAAGCAGUGGGAGCACAGGUUUACCUGUGUGACUGCGUACCUUUUGUAUAAUGGGUCAGCGACUUAUAUUCUGUAGCAAGGUUAACCGAAUAGGGGAGCCGGAGGGAAACCGAGUCUUAACCGGGCGUUAAGUUGCAGGGUAUAGACCCGAAACCCGGUGAUCUAGCCAUGGGCAGGUUGAAGGUUGGGUAACACUAACUGGAGGACCGAACCGACUAAUGUUGAAAAAUUAGCGGAUGACCUGUGGCUGGGGGUGAAAGGCCAAUCAAACCGGGAGAUAGCUGGUUCUCCCCGAAAGCUAUUUAGGUAGCGCCUCGUGAAUU